rnacentral:rRNA from 1 species
CUUUUGAUUAUAAUUUAAGGUCUGGCCUGCCCAAUGAGGAGUAUUUAAUGGCCGCGGUAUAUUGACCGUGCAAAGGUAGCAUAAUCAUUAGUUUUUUAAUUGGAAGCUGGAAUGAAAGGUUGGAUGGAAGAAUAAUUGUCUCUAUUUAAAUUUUUUAGAAUUUAUUUUUUAAGUAAAAAAGCUUAAAUUUUAUUAGAAGACGAGAAGACCCUAUAGAGUUUUAUUAAUUUUUAUUAUAGUAUUUUUAGUAUUUAUUUUUCUGUAUAAAAAAUUAAUUUAGUUGGGGCGAUUAAAAAAUUUAAUUAACUUUUUUUUUAUUUUUACAUUAAUGUAUGGGUUUUUGAUCCUUUUAUAAAGAUUAAAAGAUAAAAUUACCUUAGGGAUAACAGCGUAAUUUUUUUAAAGAGUUCAAAUCGAAAGAAAAGAUUGCGACCUCGAUGUUGGAUUAAAAUAAAAUUUUGGUGUAGAAGCUAAA